rnacentral:rRNA from 1 species
GACAGAGGAGCCAAGCGUUGUCCGGACUGACUGGGCGUAAAGCGCACGCAGGCGGCGCUGUGCGUGGGGUGUGAAAUCUCCCGGCUUAACUGGGAGGGGUCCUGGAAAACUGCCAGGCUUGAGGCAGGGAGAGGGAUGUGGAAUUCCCGGUGUAGUGGUGAAAUGCGUAGAUAUCGGGAGGAACACCAGUGGCGAAGGCGGCAUCCUGGCCCUGUCCUGACGCUCAGGGGCGAAAGCGUGGGGAGCAAACCGG